UAGCUCAAUUUUGAAGCGAGUUAUGCGCCUUUAAAGUUAGAAACGGGAAACUGAUAGAGUGCAGAGAAAGAGACAGUCGUUUUCUCUGGCGUCUCUCACUCUCUCAUCUCCAACUUCAAAGGCGCAUAACUCCCCUCAAAAUUAAGAUU
rnacentral:sRNA from 13 species